rnacentral:rRNA from 1 species
AGCCCUGGGCUCAACCUAGGAAUCGCAUUUGAAACUGACAAGCUAGAGUACUGUAGAGGGGGGUAGAAUUUCAGGUGUAGCGGUGAAAUGCGUAGAGAUCUGAAGGAAUACCGGUGGCGAAGGCGGCCCCCUGGACAGAUACUGACACUCAGAUGCGAAAGCGUGGGGAGCAAACAGGAUUAGAUACCCUGGUAGUCCACGCCGUAAACGAUGUCUACUUGGAGGUUGUGCCCUAGAGGCGUGGCUUUCGGAGCUAACGCGUUAAGUAGACCGCCUGGGGAGUACGGUCGCAAGAUUAAAACUCAAAUGAAUUGACGGGGGCCCGCACAAGCGGUGGAGCAUGUGGUUUAAUUCGAUGCA